UAUACAGAGUGUGCACCUUGCCAGUAGGGGGCAGUGUGGCGCUGUGCUUCUCCCUAGGGACUCUCUUUGAUAGCGGACUCUGGCUCCUUCCUCAUUCUACCGAGCGAAGCUUCACUGUACAGAAGCAUGGCUGCCUGUCUCAUCCUUUCUCCUGUUUAACACAGGUUUGUAAGCAUUGUAAACAUGUGUCAAUGUAUGAAAAUGUUGUUUAACAGAACAGAAGAUAUACUGAUGUAGAAAACUUAUUGAUUUGUAUUAUUCGGCCGAUGAGCAGAGACUUCAUUUUUACUCUGUGUUGUGUCUGAACCGUAAUGGUGCCAACGAACUAAUGUCUUUACUUUGGUUGAUUUCAAAACAAGAGUCUGGUUUCUUUUUGGGCUCCAGGGGCCUGCUGCAUGAAAGUAGGAUUAAGAUAUCCGGGAUAAAUGACUGAGCCGAGUUCACCCAAUCCAAAACAAGAGCGUCCAGGCUCAGUCGGUUGCACAAAGACCAAGCCAGGAUGAGCAGACACGGAUUCAUCAAGCCAGGGGAAACCAAUCCUGGCUAAGUGCGCGUACGCGGCUUCCUUAAAUAGACCCCAGAUAUCGAUCGCAGAUUCACUGAUUCACCAUGGCAACGCGUGCGGCAUACUUUUCACCGUCAGAAGAGGAGAUCCUCAUGGAAGCAUAUGAAGAGGUGAAAGAUCAAAUCAGAAAGAAAGGCAACACAGCAUCAAUAAUUAAACAGCACCAAAAAGCUUGGGAAACCAUUGCAGAUCGCCUGAAUGCCAAGUAAAAGUCAAAUACAAGAACAUCUUGCAGAAUGCCGUCAAAAAGAGAGGCCAAAUACAAAGAACGGGUGGUGGGUCACCUCCCACCGCCCUCACCCCAGCCGAAGACAUGGCCUUAUCACAAAAUAAAGGCAGGCCAGUUUUGGAGGGGAUCCUUGGGGGGGACAGAAACAAAUGCAUGUCCCUCCCAAGAGGCUAACCGCUUCAUACAAGUUUCUGGCAGCACUAUCUCCUUGCUGGAGCCACCAAUGCCAGAUGAAGAUGAUGAUGAUGAUGAUGAUGAUCCAGUGAGUACACUGUAGGCCUGCCGUGUUCCCUGAUGACGACAGUGGUCGGCUGGUCAGGGACCAAUAUGUGUUGAAUUACUUUAGUUAACAUGCUUUAAAUUUCAGUUAUAUAUGGCCUGCAGUGGCAGAGACAUAUAUAUAUUCAAAUUUGAAUUAAUUUGACCUCUUAUAAUUGCACUGUAUAUUGUGUAUACAAGCUUGUAGGGAGGCUACUGCAUGUAUUAAUUUGUCUGUUCAUUUGUUGUGUAUGGAUUUGGCCUGCAUUUAUUUCAGUGUGCAGACAUUAUAUACAGACUGAUUGUGUAUGCAUUAUUUUGUUGUAUGCUUUUGAUUCCAUGCUUUCUAUCUUGUAGAGUCACUGUGUGGCUUCAGUUUUGAAAGGAGCUGAUGGUUUACCUGCUUUUAUAUAUCCUUAUUCAAUAAAGGAAGAUCAUGUCA